GGCAAAGGCUACUAGUUUGCCACGUGGCCCACUGAUUUGAGAGAAUUUUGUUUGUAACUUCAAAGGAGCUAUUGAAAUCGCUUUCUUUCUCCAACUUUUUUUUUGAUGUGUACAAAGUAAGAAUCUUUUCGGCCUAUUAUAAUCCUCCCAUCGGUGUCAAUGAUUUUAUCACCGCAUUAUGCUUGAACUUUGAGGUGAAAAAAAUGAUAGUAUCAUUUCCCUAUUUGAUUGUUCCUGCAAUGUGUCACCCUAGAAAAUUUCUUAUUUUAGGAGUUAUUAUGAUUCAUAUAUUUGGACUCAACAUAUGUUAUUUGAAUAUAAGAGGUACUUACUAACUAAAACAUUAUAUCAGAUGAAGUAAUUCAUAGUUUUCAUUUUUUUUAUUUUCCCAAAAAUGAUUAUUCUUGUUCUAAGCCCUGCAUGUGUGAAUUCUUAUGGCCUUGAAAAUAAAUUGUCAACUGGACGGUUAUUUGUUUGUGCCUGUGAGAUAUUAAGUUUGAUGCAUCAAGUCUUGAAAGAGUUCUUACGACAUAUCAGAAGUUGUCGCUUGCAUGCUUCUACAUAAUUAUGUGAUACCGAGAGGCACUAAUUUUGUCUUUUCAUUGAAUGAGAAACUGAGUGAACUAAAAGCAACUACAAAGGUUAGAUACUUUCAUCUUGGAUCUUUAUUAAAUAACCGAGAUUAUUAAGGUUGGGGUUGAUGUGGGAAAGAUACUUUAGUAAUUUGCAAUAUAAUUUGUUAAAAAUCUAGUUGACCAUUAGAAAAUGGUGUGAAUGUAUUUUUCAUCACAAAUCCUUUUGUUAGUUUUAUAAUUUUUAGUAGAAUUUAGCUAUAAAAUUUAAUGGGCGGAUUUUAUAAUACUGGGUCCUAUGUCAACUGAAAUACUGACAAUAUUUUUGUACUGUAGCCUCUAUAAAUGAUCACUUAGUUAUAGAUGAGCAAUUUUGAUUUCUGAACACCAAAUAUACAAAAUAGUAUCCUAUAAAGUAUCUCCAGAAUCUGCAGCUAUUCAAGUCACUGUCUAAAAUGUGGAUAGAUAUUGCACACCCUGGGAUAACUCACUUGUAUACGAACUUUAAAAUAUCUUCACUUAUGUUGGUGAAGGAAUAGUAACAGGCUCCUGGGCUAUAUAAAUGAACCUCAUGUUCUACUUUCUGUAACUUAGGUGAUCGGCAACCUGUGUAUUCAUUUUUGGGAUUGACUCCUACUUUAAAGGCUUCACUUCGCCUCAUUUUUUUCCUGACUGUUCAAUACUUGUGAAUGGAGUACGGUAAUUUGCGACGUCAAGCAGCUUCCUUGAAAAAGAGCCUCUUCGAUCAGGGUUACUUGGAUGAGCAAUUUUGUCAGGUUGAGGAUUUGCAGGAUGAAGCAAAUCCAAAUUUUGCAGAGGAGGUUGUUUCCUUGUUUUUUAAGGAUUCAACCAGGGUAAUGUUGAAUUUUGAGCAAGCUAUUGAGAAGCAUCCGAAAGACUUCGCCAGAUGGGACACACACAUGCAGCAAUUGAAAGGCAGCUGUUCUAGCAUUGGUGCCUCCAGGGUGAAGAAUGAAUGCACUUCAUUCAGGAAUUUCUGUGGAGAAGAAAACGCCGAAGGUUGCACGAGAUCCUUCCAGAAAGUGAAGAGGGAGCAUGCCGUCCUCAGGCAGAAGUGGGAGUCCUACUUCCAGCUGUUGCGACAAGCUGGUCCUGCUGGGACCGCGACUAGGCCUGCGGGCAAGUAAGCUAUAAGCAGCCGGCUAUUGAAUUGGUCUCGGGCUGCUGCUGCCGUGGAUGCGACUAGGCUGAUUGCGAUGGGUUUAUAUACAGCUAUAACCACAGAUGAAACUGUCCGGCUGUGUCGGUGACCAUUGCUAUGCUGGAGAUAGUGUGAUCGGCCGACAAAAGUUUAUGAAGCGGAUCGGCGUGCGGAAGUGAUUGAAUGGCUCAAUGCGUUACUCCCGGAGUACUGUUUGCCACUGGACUCAUCGGAUGACGAGUUGCGGGAGCUGCUCAGUGAUGGCACGGUCUUGUGCCAUAUCGUGAACGCACUCAUUCCUGGUGUUCUCGAGGAGUCGUGGGGUGCUUAUGCAUCGUCAGAUCAACAUGCAGGCCAUGUGAAGAAGUUCCUCGCAGUGGUUGCUGAUAUGGGGUUGCCAGGCUUCAGUGUUAAAGAUCUUGAGGAGGGUUCAAUGUCUGGGGUAGUGGACUGCCUCUUGGUUCUGAGGGAAAGUGUGAGUUCUGGAUUACGUGAUGGUACUUCCAAGGCUCCUUUGAGGAAAAAAUGGCGAGUUCCAGAAACUGGUGAACCUCUUGUCCCUGGUGUGGCACAAGGGAAGACAUCCCCUGGAGAGGACAAGAGGAAUGGCCUUCCAGACCCUAAGUCUCAGCAGAAAACUCCCAUCUUUAAUGGACGAAAGCUUCGUGAGAUUUUCCAAUUAAAACGUGGAUCCUAUGCUGAUCUUCCGGCUGCCAAGAUUUCAGAAAUGAUGCAUUCUAACAGUUUAGAUAAUGCACCAACCCAAUCCCUUCUUAGCGUCGUUAAUGGCAUUUUGGACGAAAGCAUUGAAAGGAAAAAGGGAGAAAUACCACAUCGUGUAGUGUACCUACUGAGGAAAGUAGUUCAAGAAAUUGAGCGUCGUCUUUGUAUUCAAGCAGAGCACAUAAGAAGUCAAAAUGUGAUCAUUAAGACAAGGGAAGAUAAAUACCAUUCAAAAAUCAAAGCACUUGAAAUAUUAGUAAAUGGGACAAAUGAAGAAAACCAGAUGGCUAUAAACCGGCUUCAGAUAAUUAAGGAAGAGAAGUCAAAAAUAGAAGAGAAAAGGAAACUUGGUGAGCAAGAUGUUGCUCGGCUAAUGAAAGAAAAAGAAAUUUCUGAAAACACAAUAGCUAGUCUUAAGAAAGAGAUGGAAGUCAUGACUAGCAUGCAUGAGCAACAACUUCAGAAAAUCGAACUGACCGCAAAGCAAAUGGAAGAACAUUUAACUACCAAAAUUAAGGAGGUUGAGUCUCUUUUAGUGCAAUCAAACAAGAAAAUUGAAGAAGUUGAGGCUGCUUCCCUGUUAAAAUCACAGUUGUGGAAUAAGAAGGAGGGCAUUUUUCAGAAAUACAUGAAUAGUCAACAACUAUAUGUCAAGGGUUUAAGGAUAUCAUCAUGGUCUAUAAAAAAUGAGAUGCAUGCCCUUGAAAUGGAGUUGAGAGAUGAGAUGUCCAAUUUUGGCUCUGGUUUAAAGUGUUUGGUUGAUGCUGCUGAAAACUACCACAAAGUUCUUGCUGAAAAUCAAAAGUUGUUCAAUGAAGUGCAAGAACUAAAAGGUAAUAUAAGGGUGUAUUGUCGUGUAAGACCAUUUCUUCCUGGUCAAGAUAAAAAAUCAACCACUGUUGAUUACAUUGGUGAAAAUGGUGAGCUUUUGAUCUCAAAUCCAUUUAAACAAGGAAAGGAUGGACAUCGGAUGUUCAAGUUUAACAAGGUUUUUAGUCCAUUUUCUUCUCAAGCUGAGGUUUUCUCGGACAUUCAACCGCUGAUUCGAUCAGUUCUUGAUGGAUUCAAUGUUUGUAUUUUUGCUUAUGGUCAAACUGGUUCAGGAAAAACUUACACAAUGAGUGGACCCAGCACAUCAAAACAAGAUUGGGGUGUCAAUUACAGGGCUUUAAAUGAUUUAUUUGAUAUCUCACUAAGUAGGAGAAAUGCUUUCUCUUAUGAGGUGGGAGUUCAGAUGGUUGAGAUAUACAAUGAACAAGUGCGGGAUCUUCUGUCAAAUGAUAUUGCACAGAAACGACUUGGCAUAUGGAGCACCUCUCAACCUAAUGGACUUGUCGUCCCAGAUGCGAGCUUACACCCAGUUAAAUCAACAUCAGAUGUUUUAGACUUGAUGGAAAUUGGACAGGCAAAUAGAGCUGUUGGUUCAACAGCUCUUAAUGAAAGGAGCAGUCGGUCUCAUAGUAUUCUGACUGUACAUGUUCGAGGGUUGGAUGUGAAGAAUGGAUCCACUUCUAGAGGAUGCCUACAUCUUAUUGAUCUUGCAGGGAGUGAAAGGGUUGAGCGGUCUGAAGCAACUGGAGAUAGAUUGAAAGAGGCUCAACACAUUAAUAAAUCACUGUCUGCUUUGGGUGAUGUGAUUUUUGCUUUGGCGCAAAAGAAUGCUCAUGUGCCAUACAGGAACAGCAAGCUAACACAAGUUCUUCAAAGCUCUUUAGGUGGACAAGCAAAGACACUAAUGUUUGUUCAAAUAAAUCCUGAUGUUGAGUCAUAUUCAGAGACUAUAAGCACUCUAAAGUUUGCUGAAAGGGUUUCUGGAGUUGAGUUAGGUGCUGCAAGAAGUAAUAAAGAGGGAAAGGAUAUAAAAGAGCUGCUGGAACAGGUUGCAUCUUUGAAAGACACUAUUGUACGAAAAGAUACGGAAAUUGAGCAGCUCCAACUCAUGAAAGACAAAGUCAAAUCGCCAAGUUUUGCAGUCGAUAUAAAUGGUGCUAGCAUGCCAAAAAAUUCUAACUCUGACCUAAGAUCAGUAUUGUCAAUCACAACAAACCAACAGAGCCAACUAUCAGAUCCUCAGAGUUAUGCUGAGGUGAACAGAGAUGGUGGACCUACUUCAUACACUGACAUUACACCAACAUGCUUGGAUGAAGCAGAUUUUGAGGACAAUGCAUCAGAAGAUGGUUUCUCUGGAGGAACCGACUAUUCUGUUGGCUGUGCUGCCGGUGCCAGCGUUUUCCCAAAUUCCUGCUCAGAUAGAACCGCAGAUACCUCCAUUAGGAGAAUUUCAUCACGAAUAGCUCGAUUCAGUCUCACAAAGAAUGGACAACCAGCAACAUCCAGACCAAAACCAAAGGAUACUGCUCCGAAGACUCCAAAUCAAACGAGAGUUCAAUCGAGCCAAUUGAUAGGAGGCUCUUCACUGAGGGCAUCUAAAAGGUGGCAGAAGUAGAGCACGCUCCGGUUGCUCAGUUGUAUUUUGUAUGUCCAGAAUGUGAAAAUAGGCGAAGUAGCUGUAGGAGACAAUGUACUUGUAAGUUGUAACUCUACAGAUGUGAGAGCAUUCUGCUGACGAAGGACGAGCAGCUGAUGACUCAUCCUUUGCUCAUACAGAUCAAAUAUCCAGGAAAGGAUUCCCUUUUCUGUUCUCCA